CUUGACAUACGUUGGAAGCGCAUCGAAAGGUGCGUGCCCGCUUGGCGGCCCGGCGCACAGGUGCUGCAUGGCUGUCGUCAGCUCGUGCUGUGAAGUGUUGGGUUAAGUCCCGCAACGAGCGCCAACCCUGCUGCCUGUUGCCACCACGAGAGGUGGGGACUCAGGCGGACCGCCGGUGACAAACCGGAGGAAGGUGGGACGACGUCAAGUCAUCAUGGCCCUUAUGUCCUGGGCUACACACGUGCUACAAUGGCCGGUACAGAGCGCAGCGAAGCCGCGAGGCAAAGCGAAUCGCAAAAAGCCGGUCUCAGUACGGAUUGGAGUCUGAAACUCGACUCCAUGAAGUUGGAAUCGCUAGUAAUCGCGCAUCAGCAUGGCGCGGUGAAUACGUUCCCGGGCCUU
rnacentral:rRNA from 1 species